ensembl:lncRNA
GUGGUGUAUGUGUAGUGGUGUGUGUAUGUGUAGUGGUGUGUGUGUGUGUAGUGGUGUAUGUGUAGUGGUGUGUGUAUGUGUAGUGGUGUGUGUAUGUGUAGUGGUGUGUGUAUGUGUAGUGGUGUGUAUGUGUAGUGGUGUGUGUGUGUGUAGUGGUGUAUGUGUAGUGGUGUAUGUGUAGUGGUGUGUGUGUGUAGUGGUGUGUGUAUGUGUAGUGGUGUGUGUAUGUGUAGUGGUGUGUGUGUGUAGUGGUGUAUGUGUAGUGGUGUGUGUAUGUGUAGUGGUGUAUGUGUUGGUGUAUGUGUAGUGGUGUAUGUGCAGUGUAUGUGUGUGUGUGUGUAGGGGUGUGUGUAUGUGUAGUGGUGUAUGUGUAGUGGUGUGUGUGUGGUGUG